rnacentral:rRNA from 1 species
UACGUAGGGUGCAAGCGUUUAUCCGGAAUUAUUGGGCGUAAAGAGCUCGUAGGCGGUUUGUCGCGUCUGCUGUGAAAACUGGAGGCUCAACCUCCAGCCUGCAGUGGGUACGGGCAGACUAGAGUGCGGUAGGGGAGAUUGGAAUUCCUGGUGUAGCGGUGGAAUGCGCAGAUAUCAGGAGGAACACCAAUGGCGAAGGCAGAUCUCUGGGCCGUAACUGACGCUGAGGAGCGAAAGCAUGGGGAGCGAACAGG